rnacentral:lncRNA from 1 species
GAUAGAGUCUCUAGGUGAUGAUAGAUAUUGUCCUCUAAAAUAGAGGAAGAAAUAGAGGAUGAAUUGGAAGUAUCUCCCUUCAUUUUAGAAGAUUGAGAGCUCCAACACAACUCUAAACACUCUUCUAUUCAGGAAGAUGAUGAUUAAAUACUCUAUAUCCUUUAUCCUUUAUACUCAAUCUUCUGGGAUUGGAUUGGAGAUGCUCUUAUACAUGUAUAUUUGCAACACUGUAAUGGCUACAUGUUCUUAAAAUGCAAAGUGC